rnacentral:rRNA from 1 species
UACAGAGGGUGCGAGCGUUAAUCGGAAUUACUGGGCGUAAAGCGCGCGUAGGCGGCUUUGCAAGUCGGGUGUGAAAUCCCCAGGCCUAACCUGGGAACUGCAUUCGAGACUGCAUGGCUAGAGUAUCGGAGAGGGAAGUGGAAUUUCAGGUGUAGCGGUGAAAUGCGUAGAUAUUGGGAGGAACACCAGUGGCGAAGGCGGCUCACUGGACUGGUACUGACGCUGAUGCGCGAAAGCGUGGGGAGCAAACAGG